rnacentral:rRNA from 1 species
GUCUAAGUAUAAGCAACUAUACGGUGAAACUGCGAAUGGCUCAUUAAAUCAGUUAUCGUUUAUUUGAUAGUACCUUACUACAUGGAUACCUGUGGUAAUUCUAGAGCUAAUACAUGCUAAAAACCCCGACUUCGGGAGGGGUGUAUUUAUUAGAUAAAAAACCAAUGCCCUUCGGGGCUCCUUGGCGAAUCAUAAUAACUUAACGAAUCGCAUGGCCUUGCGCCGGCGAUGGUUCAUUCAAAUUUCUGCCCUAUCAACUUUCGAUGGUAGGAUAGUGGCCUACCAUGGUGGCAACGGGUAACGGGGAAUUAGGGUUCGACACCGGAGAGGGAGCCUGAGAAACGGCUACCACAUCCAAGGAAGGCAGCAGGCGCGCAAAUUACCCAAUCCCGAUACGGGGAGGUAGUGACAAUAAAUACUGAUACAGGGCUCUUUUGGGUCUUGUAAUUGGAAUGAGUACAAUUUAAAUCCCUUAACGAGGAACAAUUGGAGGGCAAGU